ensembl:lncRNA
GUGCAUUCGAAACAGCAAACCAGGGCAUAUGGCAGGGGAUCAAAAUCCAAUAUGCCGCAUAUCCGGGUCCAAAUCUUCUCUUACAAUGAGUUAAGGAGAACAGAUGAGUCCUGACCGCUUUUACAGCCGGCGAUGUGGGAGGUUCUUCCCUCCUUCAGGUGGAGCAGGAAUCAUUUUUCAGGAAAUUAUACAUUUAAAUCUGAAGCACCUUUGAAUGGUGAAAUUCCAAAGUGAUCUGGGACACCAAGGCAGCAUCGGUGGCAUCGGUGGCAGAGUUUAUCUGCUCUGCAACCGCAUGAGUUGAACUCGGCCCACUACAAUCACCUGCUCUGUCAGGCAAUGUGCAGAAGACAUGGCAACCUUUGUGAUGCAUGGACACGGCCCAGCACGGCCGCACAGCUCGCAGGGUAUUAUUAACCGCCUUUUAACACACGUGCAGUGAACUGGUGUGUUUAACCACGGCCGUACGAAGGCGGUCCACCGAGAGCGGUCAAAGGCCUUCCACCGCGAGGCGCGUGUCCGGCAGUACGUUGACCCAGAGGGGUGAGUCGUGACCGGCAGCGGGAGGCCUUUUCGACAGACCGGACUCGACUGCUCUCGUCCUCUGCCAAAGGAGCUGGGAGUCAAGCGGCUGCAACGAGCGCGGCUUAUGGCUUCGUGCCGCGUGAGCAGGGCUCACCGCCUGACUGCCGAGCUGCAUUUUUCCACCAGCUCCAAGCCAAAGGUUUUCGUUUCGGUGUGUCUUGU